GAGAGCUGUGUGUAAGGUCUGUCUUCCUACCUGUCCAUGGAGAGCUGUGUGUAAGGUCUGUCUUCCUACCUGUCCAUGGAGAGCUGUGUGUAAGGUCUGUCUUCCUACCUGUCCAUGGAGAGCUGUGUGUAAGGUCUGUCUUCCUACCUGUCCAUAGAGAGCUGUGUGUAAGGUCUGUCUUCCUACCUGUCCAUAGAGAGCUGUGUGUAAGGUCUGUCUUCCUACCUGUCCAUA